GUCGAACGAGACUUUUUAUUUGAUGCUUGCAUCUUUUAAAAAGUUGAGUGGCGAACGGGUGAGUAACACGUGGGUAACCUGCCUUAAAGUGGGGGAUAACACUUGGAAACAGGUGCUAAUACCGCAUAACCAUCAAAACCACCUGGUUUUGAUGUUAAAGAUGGUUCUGCUAUCGCUUUAAGAUGGACCCGCGGCGUAUUAGCUAGUUGGUGAGGUAACGGCUUACCAAGGCAAUGAUACGUAGCCGAACUGAGAGGUUGAUCGGCCACAUUGGGACUGAGACACGGCCCAAACUCCUACGGGAGGCAGCAGUAGGGAAUCUUCCACAAUGGACGAAAGUCUGAUGGAGCAACGCCGCGUGAGUGAAGAAGGUUUUCGGAUCGUAAAACUCUGUUGUCAGAGAAGAACGUGUGUGAGAGUAACUGUUCACGCAGUGACGGUAUCUGACCAGAAAGUCACGGCUAACUACGUGCCAGCAGCCGCGGUAAUACGUAGGUGGCAAGCGUUGUCCGGAUUUAUUGGGCGUAAAGGGAACGCAGGCGGUCUUUUAAGUCUGAUGUGAAAGCCUUCGGCUUAACCGAAGUCGGGCAUUGGAAACUGGGAGACUUGAGUGCAGAAGAGGAGAGUGGAACUCCAUGUGUAGCGGUGAAAUGCGUAGAUAUAUGGAAGAACACCAGUGGCGAAAGCGGCUCUCUGGUCUGUAACUGACGCUGAGGUUCGAAAGCGUGAGUAGCAAACAGGAUU
rnacentral:rRNA from 1 species